CCUGGUACUGGUACUUCCUGGAACUGGUUCCUUUUAGAGUUGUUGUUUCUGCUAGAUUCAGAUUUGGGAUGGUCCUAAACUUGAUAUUCUAUCAAACUCGGCAUCAUUGCUUUUUUAUUUUUUUGGUCGGCAAAGAAAUUCGACACCAAUUCUGAACAUGAAUUUAGCCUAACUCCAAUUCUGAGAAUGAAAAUUCAAGAUCUAUAAUUUUCAAUCUCCAACAAAUGAAACCGUCGAUGGAAAUAAGGAAUCUUGCAUUAAUGAAAUUGUCGAUGGGAAUGAGGAAUCUCUCAAUCAAGAAUUUGAUGCACUCUUUCGUAGCGUGUAGAAUCAGGAUAAUUGUGUAGACCCAUGAAAAGGAGGGACAAUAGUUCAAUUUCCACGGGACCCUCGAGUAUGAUCAGGAAAUUUCUCGUGUGCAUCAUCGUUCUUUCUUGAAAGGGCAUGUGGCCUUUUAGGAGGAUGUGAUUCUGCAUGAGUCUACGACUGUAAAUUUUAAUUCGACCAUUCAAGGAAAUAAUGAGCAGUGGACCCAUGUACCUGAUCUCUAUGGUCUAGGGACAACUCCAUCAAAAUUUCAGCCUCGCCCCAACAAUCUUCCUAAUUAGAAUUGAGCAACUCCUCAUAGUGCAGCUCGAGUUGUGCAAGAAAUGUGCCUUUCUACUUGGAAUGUGGAGGAAGUCCAAGUUGGAAGAGGGCUAUGGAGUUUAGGAAUAAAUGGUAGACUUGUUUCGGGUGUAGUCAUCACAAUCCGUGGAAUGAAAACUGUGUUUCCACCACCUGGACCGGUUAGUAUCUCUGCUUCUAUAACUGUUUUACCUAAUUGGGUCAC